GUGGGGAAUAUUGCGCAAUGGGGGAAACCCUGACGCAGCGACGCCGCGUGAGCGAAGAAGGCCUUAGGGUUGUAAAGCUCUGUUUUAAGGGACGAAUGUCGUGGGGAGUAAUAUGCUCUGCGAAUGACGGUACCUUAAGAGGAAGCCCCGGCUAACUACGUGCCAGCAGUCGCGGUAAGACGUAGGGGGCGAGCGUUGUCCGGAAUUACUGGGCGUAAAGAGCACGGAGGCGGGAACUUAAGUCAGGUGUGAAAGACCGGGGCUCAACUCCGGGGUUGCACUUGAAACUGGGUUUCUUGAGGGCAGGAGAGGAAAGCAGAAUUCCUGGUGUAGCGGUGAAAUGCGUAGAAAUCAGGAGGAAUACCAGUGGCGAAGGCGGCUUUCUGGACUGACCCUGACGCUGAGGUGCGAAAGCGUGGGUAGCAAACAGGAUUAGAAACCCGUGUAGUCC
rnacentral:rRNA from 1 species